AAAUUUUUUUUAAAAGCAGUUUGAGGUUGCUAAUGAGUUCUUGUGAAAUUGCCUGUCUGACCGUUAGAGGCUGAUGAUACUCCAGAUGACGUGUAUACUUUUGAGGUCACCCACCUGGGCUCUAAGACCAACAUGACAGAAAGAGUUAGGAAAGCUGUCUGGCUUGGCUGCAGCAAAAGAAAACCCAGUGCCAUUUCCCCCUCAGCUUUAUUGAAGUGUAACUGGCAAAUAAAAAUUCCCUAGAAAAAAUUGCCCAUAAUUAAGGUCUACAAUGUGGUUUCCUGCUAUGCAAUGUACGAAAUACGAAAUACGCGUACAUUGUGAAAUGUUUACCACGAUGAAGCUAAUGAACUUAUCCAUCAGAUUACAUAGUUACCUUUUUUAUUUUUUUGCCACUGACUUUUGGAAUCCUGAAUUCACAGAGCCUGGUUGCUUGGCUCCCACUCUGGGCUGACACCUGCUGUUGUCUGCUGCGAGCCAUUUCAGCCCCACCACGAGCUGUGUGGAAUGAAAAUCAGGUGAAAUCACUCCACUCGAUGAGCUGGCCAGAUUUGGGACACCCCUCUGCGGAGCGGCCGCUGUGAAAACAUUACGGGUGCUGCCGGACCGUCUGGUUGUGCAGAUGUCCACGAUGAAGGGUUUGCUUUCUGAUGGCACAAGUUAAAACUCAGCUGCUGAUCGGCUAUUUCUGGUGCAGACUCGUUGCCUUCCUAACUGUGAUUCCUGCCCAAAGCAGCAGGUUGGGCGAGGGCAUGUCACAAGGACCAUGACCCUCCCACCCACUCCUGGCAGAUGGGAGACAUCUCAUGGCUAUGGAUUGUUGCAUUUGACUUUUCCACUAGUUGUAGUCUCCAUCAAUGAACUGACUGAUAGUCUGAUUCUCUGGUUUUGAGAGAGAGAGAGAAGAAGGAAGAAAGAAGAGAGAGAGAGAGAGAGAGAGGGGAUCCAAAGUAGGCUCUGUGCUACCAGCAUAGAGCCCAAUGCGAGGUUUGAACUCACAGACCAUGAGGUCAUGAUCUAAGCUGAAGUCGGACCCUUAACCAACUGAGCCACCCGGGCACCCCAAGAAUUAAAGUUUUAAUUACUGAGUGGGACAUAGUGACUUUUUAACAACAGAGAAAAACAAAAUCCCAGUACCUGGGAGGCUCAGGGGAUAAGAGGAGAGAGCAUCACUGAUCUUGGCUUUUCAGAACUGUUCUAGCUUGGAACUGAUGGCCUCAAGUAGUCCCUCUUAAGCUAAUAACUCAAGGGAAUUAUUUGGACCGCAGCCAGAACCCUAGGAUAGGAGGUCCCAUCUGGGGAGUCCUGAUACCUUGACUUUCAGACAAAUACACACCCUCCUAGGAGGGCCCUGACACUGUAAACUCUGUUUCAGGUGGGGGGGUGGGCAGGUUUGGCCUCUGGGACUGUACUUCUUCUGUGAGUCCCCUGGACAUCAUGAUAUUCAUUGCCUGUGCCCCGGAAGGUGUUCAAAGCAGCUUCAACUUACUGGCCACAGGUGUGCUGUGCUGAAUCCUUGCGCCUCUGCUCAGAUUUUAUUUUUCAGGCUCUGUGCUGACAGCAGAGAGCCCGACACGGGGCUCGAACUCGCGAACUGUGAGAUCAUGACCUGAACUGAAGUCUGAUGCUUAACUGCUUGAGAUACCCAGGCACCCUGAGACUGAGUUUUUAAAUUAAGAAAAGAUCUUUAGCUGAGGGAAUGGGAUCUGUCUCCAAGUUGUCACCUUGGAAGGCAGAGCACCUUAAAAUAAUAAUAAUAAUAACAAAAACUCCAAUUUUCUGGUCACUGAUUUAUGUGCCAGGCACCGUGCUAAGCACAUUAUAUACUGUGCUCUUUACUCAUUAAAUCCCCAAAUAACCCUCAGAGGUAAGUGCUAUCAACAUCCCCAUUACAGAUUAGAAAACAGAGGCUCAGAGAGGUGUCUGAGCACAGCGAAAAAGUGACAGAACUGAGAAAUGAACCAGGCCUGACUCUCUCCAUAGCCUACAAGCUAGCCACUUCCAGCCAUGCUGUCAUUACUCAGAUAUUUUGGGAAAUGCUUUGGGAAUGACCUCUGAGCCCAUUUUCAAGCAGCAGGAAAAACAAACAAACAAACAAACAAACAAACAAACAAACAAAAAUCCAGUCUCCUGGUUGUACUCAUUAAGACCUGGAGAAGUUCCUCUUCAUUUGGCCUCUGGCAGAGUGGGAAGGGCAGGCAUGGCAGGAGGCCAGGGUGGGCCCAGGAGGGAGCUAGGAGACCUGUGGGCAUGCGCAGGGGCUCCGUUGGCGGGCUGGAGAGGCAGAGGUGGGUGCCCCGUCACUGAGCAACCUUCGGUAAGUCACUUCUCUCUGAACCUCAGUUUCCGUGGCGUCCCGAUGGAGUGGGGGCUGGCAUGGGUGGUGAAAGAAUUCACCCAAGUCAGAACAAAGGAGAUGGAGACUUAUUGAAUACACUGCAAGAGAGCAGCGGGCAGGACAGCAAAGGAGAGACUGUCUGCCACCAGGCGGUAUUGUGGGGCCACAGUUACAGGGUGGGAGGAGGAGAUAUGGGAACAUAUGGGAACUUUUUUUUUUUUUUUUGGUAACUGUGUAAAUGGCCCAUUGGUUAGUUAAGGCCUGUGGCUAUUUUAAGAAGAGUUGCCUAAUGAGCCUACUUCAUUGGGGGCGGGGGGUGGCUGUGGGCUAAUUUACCUCACUCAGGUUUCCACUGCUCAAGCCUGUUGCCUAGAAGUGGCCCUGAUCAUCCCCCCACCCCGACAGGUCGGCAAUGACAAAUCCUUGGCAUUUGAGUGGAAGUCUCAUCUUCAACGGCUUCUUCCUGCUGAACGAGGGGUGUAGAGAUGUCCCUACGUAUGGAUCAACAUUGGUCGGUUGGGAAUUUAUAUGUUGGGAUUAUGAAAGGCAGAGGCGGCUGUAUCCAAGGCAGAUAGCACGUGUGAAUUUUCCCAAGUGGAAAGGAUCAUCUGUCAGCUCAAACAUGUGGCCGUGAAGGAAUCUCGGCACCAGGCGGAGAGAGAUCUGGAAAAUAAGAUGAUGAUUAUUAGGAUGAAAAAGAAAAGCCCUAAUUAAACGACUUUUGACCCAAA